AUGGAUUAUAAAAUUGUGGCACCAAGUCUUGAUGGCAGAAAGGGUGGAUUGUUACUAGUCUGGAAGAAGGAGGUUAGGAUCUACUCCCGGACUACUACCUUUAGUUGCAUUGAUGUGGCGGUGGAGGAACUGGAUGGGAAAGAGUGGAGGUUAUCAUGUGUGUACGGCGAGCCAAACUGGGAUAAUAAGGAGAGAACGUAUCAACUCCUUCGUGAUUUGCAUGCUCAGUCUAGACUUCCAUGGGUUGCGAUUGGUGAUUUUAACGAGAUCUUAUUCUCGUCUGAAAAGGAAGGAGGAGCACCACGACAACAAGUUCGGCUUCAGGCAUUCCAGGAUGCACUCUCAGAUUGCUCACUAGAAGAUAUUGGCUACCAUGGUGACAAAUUCACGUUCUUUAGAGGAGGAUUGAGGGAACGGCUGGACCGGGCUGUUUCGAACGCUGAAUGGAUGAAACUACACCCAUUGUGUGGGCUGUCUAACCUUGAUAUGGGCAACUCUGAUCACCGGCCAAUUUUUCUGGAUACGGAUUACUUGACAGGGGUAGCUGCACCGCGAAGAACUUGA
rnacentral:rRNA from 1 species